CGCUCGAUGAGUAGGACUGUGCGCUGCUUCACGUCUGUGAUGCUCGUCCACCUGUGUGCUUAUAGCGUGUUUUUGUUGUACUGCAGAGCGGCUGGGCUUGCACGCCACGCUCAAGGUGCGCUGUGUGUUCAGCUUGCGGCGGUGAAUGCCGGUGGCAGCGCGAGUCUCUCUCUGUCUCCCCCUAUGUGUUGUGCGGGCGUCAUACUCGGCAACAAGAUAAAUGUUGGCCACCUGGCUGAUGAAACUGUGACUUGGGUGACGUGACGAUCAGCUGUCCCCUGCUGCUUUGUCUCGACAUGAUUUUGUUCAGCUUAACGGCUUCUGCCGCUGCCCCAAGUAGGUCCAGCUGCAGACCCGCAGACCACUCAACGACACCCCCCCCCACUCAACGACACACCCCCUCACACUCUACGACACACCCCCUCACACUACACGACACUCUGAUUGGGUCACAGAAGAGACUGCGUCUGAAACGUGAUGACGUUUACUAACGUGAUGACGUUUACUAACGUGAUGACGUCUACUUUUAUUGAAACUUUAUUUACACAUGCGUAUUUCAUAGACACUUGUUGACAAGAGACUUUUAUCCCGGUGUGCGACUGGAAUAGAGAAGAAUAAAUACUCGUGUUGACUUUUAUGAACACAGAAAUGUUAUUUCUGUGAAAUUUGUGAAUAAUUAAUGUCACUUUUGUAAAGUAUGAAAUGUUAUAGCCAAACUGCUAAAAUAUAUAAAUGCCGAUUGGAAAAGUUCUUUCAACAUCACGUUUACACAAUAUAGUAUCAUGUUUAUGUGAUAUAAUAUAACGUUUACACAAUAUAG